GGGGAAUUAGCUCAAUUGGUAGAGCGCCUGCUUUGCACGCAGGAGGUUAAGGGUUCGAGUCCCUUAUUCUCCA
rnacentral:tRNA from 1 species